UUAACCCUGAGGUGUUCGCCCGUUGACGAGUCCUCGAGCCGAUAAUGAAGAAAUCGGGUUUUUCUCGCCGCUGUUGGUGUGCACGUCCACACGUUGGAAAGCCUAAUACAGCGCAGAAUUUCCCCCCUUGAACCGUCGGGUUCAAGGCCAAGUCAGCCGCGGCGCCCUGGGGCCUAA
rnacentral:other from 1 species